UACGAAGGGGGCUAGCGUUGCUCGGAAUCACUGGGCGUAAAGCGCACGUAGGCGGCUUGUUAAGUCAGGGGUGAAAUCCUGGAGCUCAACUCCAGAACUGCCUUUGAUACUGGCGAGCUUGAGUUCGGGAGAGGUGAGUGGAACUGCGAGUGUAGAGGUGAAAUUCGUAGAUAUUCGCAAGAACACCAGUGGCGAAGGCGGCUCACUGGCACGAUACUGACGCUGAGGUGCGAAAGCGUGGGGAGCAAACAGG
rnacentral:rRNA from 1 species